UUUACGGAGAGUUUGAUCCUGGCUCAGAGUGAACGCUGGCGGCGUGCCUAAUACAUGCAAGUCGAACGAUGAAGUCUCUAGCUUGCUAGAGAUGGAUUAGUGGCGCACGGGUGAGUAAUGCAUAGAUAACAUGCCCUUUAGUCUAGGAUAGCCACUGGAAACGGUGAUUAAUACUGGAUACUUCUUACGAGAGAAAGGGACUCUUAAUAGAGAAUUCAAGCUUUUGAGUGCUUUUACGGGAGCUUGAAAUUUUUAAACUACGAUGAACUUUAAUGUUCUAUCUUGUUUAAAAAUUUCUGCGCAACCCACAAAAUCAUCUCAAAAUCUUAGAAUUCUAGAAUCUCCAAAACACAGAAUCUAAAUUUCAAGAUUCUGUAAAAGAUUAGGAUUUUAGAAUCUAGAGCAAGAAUUGGGAUUGUGCGUAAGAUUUGCAAGUUUUCAAGAAAAAGGUGCAGGGAGUUACCUAAGCGGUAAUGACCAAGCCUUUUUCGCAGAAUCUUGCAAAGAUUGCGUGCAAGUCAAAUUCUAAAGCAUGAAUUUUUUAUUAAGAGUCUCCGCUAAAGGAUUGGUCUAUGUCCUAUCAGCUUGUUGGUGAGGUAAUGGCUCACCAAGGCUAUGACGGGUAUCCGGCCUGAGAGGGUGAACGGACACACUGGAACUGAGACACGGUCCAGACUCCUACGGGAGGCAGCAGUAGGGAAUAUUGCUCAAUGGGGGAAACCCUGAAGCAGCAACGCCGCGUGGAGGAUGAAGGUUUUAGGAUUGUAAACUCCUUUUGUUAGAGAAGAUUAUGACGGUAUCUAACGAAUAAGCACCGGCUAACUCCGUGCCAGCAGCCGCGGUAAUACGGAGGGUGCAAGCGUUACUCGGAAUCACUGGGCGUAAAGAGUGCGCAGGCGGGAUAGCAAGUCAGAUGUGAAAUGCUAUGGCUUAACCAUAGAACUGCAUUUGAAACUGCUAUUCUAGAGUGUGGGAGAGGUAGGUGGAAUUCUUGGUGUAGGGGUAAAAUCCGUAGAGAUCAAGAGGAAUACUCAUUGCGAAGGCGACCUACUGGAACAUUACUGACGCUCAUGCACGAAAGCGUGGGGAGCAAACAGGAUUAGAUACCCUGGUAGUCCACGCCCUAAACGAUGAAUGCUAGUUGUUGCCCUGCUCGUCAGGGCAGUAAUGCAGCUAACGCAUUAAGCAUUCCGCCUGGGGAGUACGGUCGCAAGAUUAAAACUCAAAGGAAUAGACGGGGACCCGCACAAGCGGUGGAGCAUGUGGUUUAAUUCGAAGCUACGCGAAGAACCUUACCUAGGCUUGACAUUGAUAGAAUCUGCUAGAGAUAGCGGAGUGCUGGCUUGCCAGAGCUUGAAAACAGGUGCUGCACGGCUGUCGUCAGCUCGUGUCGUGAGAUGUUGGGUUAAGUCCCGCAACGAGCGCAACCCUCGUCCUUAGUUGUUAGCAGUUCGGCUGAGCACUCUAAGGAGACUGCCUUCGCAAGGAGGAGGAAGGUGAGGACGACGUCAAGUCAUCAUGGCCCUUACGCCUAGGGCUACACACGUGCUACAAUGGGGUGCACAAAGAGAAGCAAUAUCGCGAGAUGGAGCAAAUCUCCAAAACGCCUCUCAGUUCGGAUUGUAGUCUGCAACUCGACUACAUAAAGCUGGAAUCGCUAGUAAUCGCAAAUCAGCAAUGUUGCGGUGAAUACGUUCCCGGGUCUUGUACUCACCGCCCGUCACACCAUGGGAGUUGUAUUCGCCCUAAGCCGGAAUGCUAAAUUGGCUACCGUCCACGGCGGAUGCAGCGACUGGGGUGAAGUCGUAACAAGGUAACCGUAGGUGAACCUGCGGUUGGAUCACCUCCUUU
rfam:Helicobacter fennelliae MRY12-0050 DNA, contig: MRY12-0050_Contig_3.